rnacentral:rRNA from 1 species
UAGGGAAUCUUCCGCAAUGGACGCAAGUCUGACGGAGCAACGCCGCGUGAGUGAAGAAGGAUUUCGGUUCGUAAAACUCUGUUGUUAGAGAAGAACAGCGCAUAGAGUAACUGUUAUGCGUGUGACGGUAUCUAACCAGAAAGCCACGGCUAACUACGUGCCAGCAGCCGCGGUAAUACGUAGGUGGCAAGCGUUGUCCGGAUUUAUUGGGCGUAAAGCGAGCGCAGGCGGUCAAUUAAGUCUGAUGUGAAAGCCCCCGGCUAAACCGGGGAGGGUCAUUGGAAACUGGUUGACGUGAGUGAAGAAGAGGAGAGUGGAAUUCCAUGUGUAGCGGUGAAGUGCGUAGAUAUAUGGAGGAACACCAGUGGCGAAGGCGACUCUCUGGUCUGUAACUGACGCUGAGGUUCGAAAGCGUGGGUAGCAAACAGG